rnacentral:misc_RNA from 1 species
UUUCCGUAGGUGAACCUGCGGAAGGAUCAUUCAUAAUAAGUGUUUUAUGGCACUUUUUUAAAUCCAUAUCCACCUUGUGUGCAAUGUCAGGGUUGAUUUUUCUCUCGAGAGGAUCAACCCCAAACAUCAACUAUAUCUCAACUCUUUGCCUGGAAAAUAUUAUGAAUAAAACAAUUCAAAAUACAACUUUCAACAACGGAUCUCUUGGCUCUC